rnacentral:rRNA from 1 species
UACAGAGGGUGCAAGCGUUGUUCGGAAUUAUUGGGCGUAAAGCGCGUGUAGGCGGCUUUGCAAGUCGGGUGUGAAAGCCCUCAGCUCAACUGAGGAAGUGCGCCCGAAACUGCAGAGCUUGAGUACCGGAGAGGAUGGUGGAAUUCCCCAAGUAGAGGUGAAAUUCGUAGAUAUGGGGAGGAACACCGGUGGCGAAGGCGACCAUCUGGACGGAUACUGACGCUGAGGAGCGAAAGCCAGGGGAGCAAACGGG